rnacentral:rRNA from 1 species
UGAAUACGAGACGCUAAGGCGUCGAAGUAGUGUAUGUCAUACUUCCAAGAAAAGCUUGCACUGUCAUAGAUAAAAAACGCCUGUACCAUAACCGACACAGGUGGGUAGGUAGAGUAUACUAAGGGGCGCGAGAUAACUCUCUCUAAGGAACUCGGCAAAAUAACUCCGUAACUUCGGGAGAAGGAGUGCCUUAUUCGUAAGGCUGCAAUAACAAGAUCCAAGCAACUGUUUAUCAAAAACACAGGUCUCCGCUAAGUCGUAAGACGAUGUAUGGGGGCUGACGCCUGCCCAGUGCCAGAAGGUUAAAGAAGUUGGUUAGCAUUUGCGAAGCUGAUAACUGAAGCCCUGGUGAACGGCGGCCGUAACAAUAACGGUCCUAAGGUAGCGAAAUUCCUUGUCGGGUAAGUUCCGACCCGCACGAAAGGCGUAAUGAUUUGGAUACUGUCUCGGAGAGGGGCUCGGUGAAAUAGACUUGUCUGUGAAGAUGCGGACUACCUGCACCAGGACAGAAAGACCCUAUGAAGCUUUACUGUAACUUGAAAUUGAAAUUGGACUUUAUUCGCGCAGUAUAGGUGGGAGGCGUUGAUUAUAAUCUUGCGGGAUUAUUGGAGCCAUCAGUGAGAUACCACUCUUGUAAUGUUAGAUUUCUAACUUUGUAUCAUUAUCUGGUCAAAGAACAGUUUCAGGCGGGCAGUUUGACUGGGGCGGUCGCCUCCCAAACGGUAACGGAGGCGUACAAAGGUUUCCUCUGAACGGUUAGAAAUCGUAUCUAGAGUGUAAAGGCAUAAGGAAGCUUGACUGUGAGACCUACAAGUCGAGCAGGGACGAAAGUCGGUCUUAGUGAUCUGACGGUACUGAGUGGAAAGGCCGUCACUCAACGGAUAAAAGUUACUCUAGGAUAACAGGCUGAUCUCCCCCAAGAGUUCACAUCGACGGGGAGGUUUGGCACCUUGAUGUCGGCUCAUCGCAUCCUGGGGCGGUAGUACGUCCCAAGGGUUGGGCUGUUCGCCCAUGAAAGCGGUACGCGAGCUGGGUUCAGAACGUCGUGAGACAGUUCGGUCCAUAUCCGGUGUAGGCGUUAGAAUAUUGAGAGGAGCCUUCUUUAGUACGAGAGGACCGAGAAGGACAUACCUCUGGUGUACCAGUUAUCGUGCCAACGGUAAACGCUGGGUAGCUAUGUAUGGAGUGGAUAACCGCUGAAAGCAUCUAAGUGGGAAGCCCACCUCAAGAUAAGUAUUCUC